rnacentral:rRNA from 1 species
AGUGAACGCUGGCGGCAGGCCUAAUACAUGCAAGUCGAACGGCAGGCACAGCAGAGCUUGCUCUGUGGGUGGCGAGUGGCGGACGGGUGAGGAAUACAUGGGAAUCUGCCCAGUCGUGGGGGAUAACGUAGGGAAACUUACGCUAAUACCGCAUGCGCCCUUCGGGGGAAAGCCGGGGACCUUCGGGCCUGGCGCGAUUGGAUGAGCCCAUGUCGGAUUAGCUAGUUGGCGGGGUAAUGGCCCACCAAGGCGACGAUCCGUAGCUGGUCUGAGAGGAUGAUCAGCCACACUGGAACUGAGACACGGUCCAGACUCCUACGGGAGGCAGCAGUAGGGAAUAUUGGACAAUGGGCGCAAGCCUGAUCCAGCCAUGCCGCGUGAGUGAAGAAGGCCCUCGGGUUGUAAAGCUCUUUUGUCCGGAAAGAAAAGCGCCGGGUUAAUACCCUAGUGUCCUGACGGUACCGGAAGAAUAAGCACCGGCUAACUUCGUGCCAGC